rnacentral:rRNA from 1 species
UACGGAGGGUGCAAGCGUUAUCCGGAUUUACUGGGUUUAAAGGGUGUGUAGGCGGGCUUUUAAGUCAGUGGUGAAAUCUCCGGGCUCAACCCGGAAACUGCCAUUGAUACUAUUAGUCUUGAAUUUUGUUGAGGUAGGCGGAAUAAGUCAUGUAGCGGUGAAAUGCAUAGAUAUGACUUAGAACACCAAUUGCGAAGGCAGCUUACUAAACAGAUAUUGACGCUGAGGCACGAAAGCGUGGGGAUCAAACAGG